rnacentral:tRNA from 1 species
GGAAAUAUAACUCAGUCCGGUUAGAGUAAUAGCAUUAUGAUUUGUGGGUUCGAGUCCCACUGCCA